UACGUAGGUCCCGAGCGUUAUCCGGAAUUACUGGGCGUAAAGAGUUCGUAGGCGGUACGUUAAGUUCGGCAUGAAAGACCGGGGCUCAACCCCGAGUUUGUGCCGGAUACUGGCGAACUAGAAUCCGGGAGAGGUUGGCAGAAUGGUACGAGUAGGGGUGCAAUCCGUUGAUACGUACUGGAAUACCAAAAGCGAAGGCAGCCAACUGGAACGGUAUUGACGCUGAGGAACGAAAGCGUGGGGAGCGAAAAGGAUUAGAUACCCGAGUAGU
rnacentral:rRNA from 1 species